rnacentral:rRNA from 1 species
AUGACCUCGGAUCAGGUAGGG